GAUGAACGCUGGCGGCGUGCCUAAUACAUGCAAGUCGAGCGAACAGAUGAGGAGCUUGCUCCUCUGACGUUAGCGGCGGACGGGUGAGUAACACGUGGAUAACCUACCUAUAAGACUGGGAUAACUUCGGGAAACCGGAGCUAAUACCGGAUAAUAUAUUGAACCGCAUGGUUCAAUAGUGAAAGACGGUUUUGCUGUCACUUAUAGAUGGAUCCGCGCCGCAUUAGCUAGUUGGUAAGGUAACGGCUUACCAAGGCAACGAUGCGUAGCCGACCUGAGAGGGUGAUCGGCCACACUGGAACUGAGACACGGUCCAGGCUCCUACGGGAGGCAGCAGUAGGGAAUCGUCCGCAAUGGGCGAAAGCCUGACGGAGCAACGCCGCGUGAGUGAUGAAGGUCUUCGGAUCGUAAAACUCUGUUAUUAGGGAAGAACAAAUGUGUAAGUAACUAUGCACGUCUUGACGGUACCUAAUCAGAAAGCCACGGCUAACUACGUG
rnacentral:rRNA from 1 species